AUGGGCGUGUCCCUGGGCGGCGUCCUGCCGGUGGUCGGCGGCGCGGCGCCAUGGCUGAGGCCGAGGUCACGGCCGCGGGAAUCGGGCAUCGCCCUUGGAGGCGCUGGAUCGAUCAGGCACGGGAGCGAGAGGUGGGGGUAUCGAGCAGUUUUUUUAACAGUCCAAAAAUGUUGGGAAAACAGGAAGAGUGUCGAUAAAGGGGAAAAGAAUUGUUGGCAAAGUUUGGAGGUGAAACUUGAAGCAGAAGAGACUUGA
rnacentral:rRNA from 1 species